GCCCAGCAUGGUUGUAUAUACCUGUAGUCCCAGCUGCUAAGGAGGCUAAGGUGGGGGCAUCGCUUGACCCUAACCAGGUAUUCUGGACUGUAGUGUGCCGUGUGGAUCAGGUGUCUGCACUAAGUGCAGCAUCAAUGUGAUGACCUCUCUGGAGUGGGGAAACUCCAGGUUGCCUAAGGAAGGGUGAACUGGCCCAGGUCAGAAAUGGAGCAUGUAGAAACUCUGGUGCUGAUCAGUAGUGAGAUCACACCUGUGAAUAGCCACUGUACUCGAGCUUGGACAACAUAGUGGGACCCUGUCUCUA
ensembl:misc_RNA Metazoa_SRP Metazoan signal recognition particle RNA